rnacentral:rRNA from 1 species
AUGGGUUCUUGUGCGUCAGUUCACAAGGAGGACGUUGGGCUGCCCAAGAAGCUGAGCCUCGCCUUGUCGUUGCCGUCCAAGGUCGAUCUCAAGCGCAAGAUCAAGGUGUUCGGCCCCAGCAGCAGGAGCGUCGACUCUGCUAGCUUGGUGCCUGGGUCCAUGGACUCCCUACAAAAAAAAAAACUUGGAUCCACUAUGGACGGCAAGACACAUCAUCUGCUGCCUUGGAGUGACCAUGGCCAAGAAGACGUUGUUCGUACCCGUUCCCCGGUGCUGUCCGGCGAGUUAGUGCUUGGGCGCUCUUCAACGCCUUCGUUUUUGUUGUCUCCUAUGAUCUUUCGCUACACGCUCGGCCACUACCACAUGCCCUGCAGUAAGUCCAGUUUGAGGCGAGCCGCAGCCACGACAUCGACGGCAUCCAUCAAUCCUGGAUCCUUCGACAUCUGGAUGGACCCUAGCUCACUCAUGGACUACGACGAUGGGCUCAUCAGUAUCACCUGCCACAUCAUCGACAUCACCGUCUCCAUGUCGUUCUGUUGUUUGUCCCUGCUACCAAUUAUUGAUGACAUAACUUGUGAGGAAAGACCAUGGGAAACUGACCGGUUGGGCCCGCCCGUCAGGCACCACGCUGGCCAGUGCGCGCGUCGCCUGCGCUGGCUGCGCGCUGACUCGGACGAGGCCGGCUCGGCCCGUUGGCGCGACCGACCCCGACCCCGCGCUGCCAUGUCCUUUUCCUCGCACCUCGCCGGCGGCUGCCUCCCCGCCCGCCCCGCCGCCGCCGCACCACGCCGCCGUAGCCAUCGAUCGAACAGCUCAGGCGCUGUCACCUCCCUCCUCUCCCCCGCGGCUGUUGUGCCUUCCUCUCCCCCGCGACCGCUGUGCCCUCCUCUCCCCCGCGGCCGCUGUGCCCUCCUCUCCCCCGCGGCUGCCGUGCCCUAG